AGCGAACGCUGGCGGCAGGCCUAACACAUGCAAGUCGAACGAACUCUUCGGAGUCAGUGGCGGACGGGUGAGUAACACGUGGGAACGUGCCUUUUGGUUCGGAAUAACUCAGGGAAACUUGUGCUAAUACCGAAUGUGCCCUUCGGGGGAAAGAUUUAUCGCCAUUAGAGCGGCCCGCGUCUGAUUAGCUAGUUGGUGAGGUAACGGCUCACCAAGGCGACGAUCAGUAGCUGGUCUGAGAGGAUGACCAGCCACACUGGGACUGAGACACGGCCCAGACUCCUACGGGAGGCAGCAGUGGGGAAUCUUGCGCAAUGGGCGAAAGCCUGACGCAGCCAUGCCGCGUGAAUGAUGAAGGUCUUAGGAUUGUAAAAUUCUUUCACCGGGGACGAUAAUGACGGUACCCGGAGAAGAAGCCCCGGCUAACUUCGUG
rnacentral:rRNA from 1 species